GGGGUAACGGCCCACCAAGGCAACGAUCAGUAGGGGUUCUGAGAGGAAGGUCCCCCACAUUGGAACUGAGACACGGUCCAAACUCCUACGGGAGGCAGCAGUGAGGAAUAUUGGUCAGUGGGCGAGAGCCUGAACCAGCCAAGUAGCGUGCAGGAAGACGGCCCUAUGGGUUGUAAACUGCUUUUAUAAGGGAAUAAAGUUAGUCUCGUGAGACUUUUUGCAUGUACCUUAUGAAUAAGGACCGGCUAAUUCCGUGCCAGCAGCCGCGGUAAUACGGAAGGUCCGGGCGUUAUCCGGAUUUAUUGGGUUUAAAGGGAGCGUAGGCCGGAGAUUAAGCGUGUUGUGAAAUGUAGACGCUCAACGUCUGCACUGCAGCGCGAACUGGUUUCCUUGAGCACGCACAAAGUGGGCGGAAUUCGUGGUGUAGCGGUGAAAUGCUUAGAUAUCACGAAGAACUCCGAUUGCGAAGGCAGCUCACUGGAGCGCAACUGACGCUGAAGCUCGAAAGUGCGGGUAUCGAACAGGAUUAGAUACCCUGGUAGUCCGCACGGUAAACGAUGGAUGCCCGCUGUUGGUCUGAACAGGUCAGCGGCCAAGCGAAAGCAUUAAGCAUCCCACCUGGGGAGUACGCCGGCAACGGUGAAACUCAAAGGAAUUGACGGGGGCCCGCACAAGCGGAGGAACAUGUGGUUUAAUUCGAUGAUACGCGAGGAACCUUACCCGGGCUUGAAUUGCAGAGGAAGGAUUUGGAGACAAUGACGCCCUUCGGGGUCUCUGUGAAGGUGCUGCAUGGUUGUCGUCAGCUCGUGCCGUGAGGUGUCGGCUUAAGUGCCAUAACGAGCGCAACCCCUCUCCUUAGUUGCCAUCAGGUUAAGCUGGGCACUCUGGGGACACUGCCACCGUAAGGUGUGGGGAAGGUGGGGAUGACGUCAAAUCAGCACGGCCCUUAUGUCCGGGGCUACACACGUGUUACAAUGGCAGGUACAGAGAGACGGUUGUACGUAAGUACGAUCAAAUCCUUAAAGCCUGUCUCAGUUCGGACUGGGGUCUGCAACCCGACCCCACGAAGCUGGAUUCGCUAGUAAUCGCGCAUCAGCCAUGGCGCGGUGAAUACGUUCCCGGGCCUUGUACACACCGCCCGUCAAGCCAUGAAAGCCGGGGGCGCCUAAAGUCCGUGACCGUAAGGAGCGGCCUAGGGCGAAACUGGUAAUUGGGGCUAAGUCGUAACAAGGUA
rnacentral:rRNA from 1 species